UGGGUGCGUGUGUGUGUGUUAUACAUGAAUACGUGUGUAUGUGGGCUUAUGUGUAACAAAAGCGUGGCGUGAGCCCAUUUACAUGUGUGUGCAUGUGUAGCAAUGGCUGCUGGUACCGCA
rnacentral:precursor_RNA from 15 species